CUCUUGUUGGGUGGGGGCCUUGUGCCACAACCUGCAUGGGGUGCUAGGGUUUAAACCAAGUGGUCACGAAGGAUUCUUAUCUCAGGGCUCUGCCUGGCCCACCUUCUCUUGGGCCUGGACUCUCCUUAUCCACAUCCCUGCAGAAGGUGGGCCCUAUUCUCAGAAGAGUCCUGGCUGCUGUUGCCAUCUGAAUGCGCCCUUCCCUUUCAGGUUGACCAGCAGUGGCCUUACCUGGCCUCUCAGGUGGAUGGAGGCUGUUCUCAUCUGGGGCUGUCUCUUGAUUAAGGCUGUCACCUGUUUGUAUAGGGACCAUGUUUCCCAACGCACUUUGAGUGCAGUUUAGGAGGUAUCCUUUGGAUGCUGAAGUGUUGGGAUUUUGAGGACAUGCGGAUGAUUUAUGAGAAUAGAGGGGCAGAGUUUGUGAAGUCUAGGGUUUUUUGUCCAGUGGGUUUCAAAUUUGUUGGCUGUUUAAAGACCCUGUCUCCUCCCCCACCCUCCCCUUCCUUUUCCCAUCAAAUGCCUACCUACUGAGGCGCCUUCUCUUUUUAUUCUUGAGCCAAUGAGAUAUCAGUGUGUUUAUUAAUAAGGAUUGCAAUAGUAUAGUGCUUAAUAUGUGCCAGGCAUAGUGCUAAGGGUUUACAUACGUUAUCCCUUUUAAUCCAGAAAACAGCCUUUGAUUAGGUAUUGUUGUCUCCAUUUUAUAGAUGAGGAAACUGAGGCAGUAUGACUGAGGCCGAGAGCAGUGGUUAAGACAGACUUUGGGAUCAAAUCACCCUAGGUGCGGGCAGGUUUCUAGGCUGCUCUAAGCUUCUACCUUGAAGGCAGUUGGGUCUGAUAAUAGUACCUUCUUCCUGGGGUGGUUGUGAGGAUAUAACGAGGUAAUGCAUGUAAGCAUUUAGUACCAUGCCUGGCACAUAGUAAGCACUCAAUAAAUGGUAGUUACUUUUGUUGAGCUCAGCUGGUAGUUUGACCUCCGUUGGUGCAAUGCCAGAGAUGGGAUUGUCAGCCACCACACUGCCACCACCCUGCACACAGUCUGGGUCCCUCCGAGAGAAGCACGCCAACCUUAACAUCCCCUACAGCAUCUUGGUGCUUCACACACCAUUUAGGAGGCCACCCUAACGAGGCAAGAGGACAUGGGGGUGUGCAGAAGUUCUGUUCUUAGUGAGAAUGGCUGGCCUGAGAAUCCAGCUCACCUCCUCUGCCCACAGUCUGGACUGCUUGUGGGAAGGCCAUCUCCUCCUGUCUGGUGGUACCUCCACUCUGGGCAGGGAGGGCCUGUCUGUGACUCGCUCUGGACCCCACUUCCCGCUCUGGCCAAGGGCUGUCUUCUGUGCACAUAGCUCAGGAGCCUGCAGCAGUUCCCUGUAUGGGUGGAUGUCCUCAGGGGCCAAGAAGAGAAGAAUGGGGACAACAGAAACCUGCUUUGUAGGGGAUUAUGUAGACUAAAAGCCUAGAAGUUCUGCCCACAUCCUUAUGACGCAGCCAAUCUGGAGCUUCAUGUUUCCUUCUAAAAGUAGUAACCGGGUAGAAGUGGGUGACCCAUUGAGGACACAUGAUGUGAGGUAUUUCUGCCGGAUUCUAGGUUAGCAAAGACUCAAAUGGGUGACUCAUGAAUGAAGGGAGAACAGGCACAGGACUUAAUGAAAAGAGUUUCUUGAACUUAGUUUUCUGAAUGGGGGUGGGGAGUUGGGGCACGUGUGUGUAAGGGGAGGCUGCCUCACUUUGAAGGAAUGGUGUUGGCUAACAGGAUCCAUGAAAUUCCUAGGUCAGUUGAAUAAUAACUGAACUACUGGUUUGACUGUGGAUUAUUUCCUGGGUAUUAGUGGGACCCAACAGCACAUUGCUAUUAAUAGUAUGGAAAUAAUGGUCCCUCUGUUUCAUUGAAUUGCUGAAGUAAUGAUAAUGCCAUGAACCAGGAGAAGAUGGUUGUGGGGGUUUCUAGGAAGCAGCUGCUGUGACAGGCCAAUCCCAGGCUUGCCCCCGAGCCCUCCUGUCCUUCUGGGUUUGUGUUUGCCUUGCCUGGUGCUUCCUCCCUCAUUGUGUUGUUGAAUAGACCUAGGCAGCCUUGUAUCCAUAGAAAGCCUCCACUGCUGGGCCGGGGAGGGGGUUGUGGUAAGGGCCCUCUGGAAAUCAAGCAGAGAAUGCCUUUGCAGUGGUCUCCCGGGCAUUGGGCAGGGCCUAGCCUUUUGCAGCCCCCAGAGGACCUUGCCUGCAUAAAGCACUCAGAAGGGUUAGCCACCUGGUGAUUUUGUCUCUAGUGAAACUGUGUUUGCCGAUAAUCAUCCACAUAGCCACCUCUGUCCUCGCAGUUUGGAUGCCUUUUUUUGACACCUGCGCUAGGUUCUUGUAUGCUGGCUUUUCUUAAAGGAACAGCAGAGUAGAAAAGAGGUUGAGAAUGUUUUCUAGCAGGCAGAAUGUGCAUACAUGUUUUCAUGAGUGUCCUUUGGGUGCUGUUUCUUUUAAAUCCUCUGUGCACAGGGCUCUGGCCUUUAGUAAACUGUUUUUCUGUCUUACGUCAUGCUGACUGGGUGCUAGGGGCUGAUUACAAAGGGGAAGAGUUGAACAGACAUCAGGGGCCGAUGAAACCAAAGGACUAGGAGUCAGGAGAACAAGUCAGGGAUUAGGAGACAGCGGUUUGGUUUAUUGUUAUCCAGCUGGAGGACUCCUAGGGGCAGCAGCAGGAGGAAUACCAGGGCCACGGAGGGGCCAGGAGUCUCACAGUGGAGGGCAGACUCUAACAGAUGCCAGCUGAACGCUCGCUGGCCCUGGAUGUCAUACGAGUUGGGGACCAGAAAUCUGGGCUCAGAGAACCCGUCCAGGGAGAUUUGAAGCCAUGGGUUAUCUUCUAGAGUUGAUACUGAUAAUAUAUUUUAAUUUUUAUUGAUGUUUAAUACCUUCUGAAACAGGAGGGUAAGAUCAGAUGGGAAGCCCCUCUGUUGAAGGAUCUUGGGAACCUUGGUGGUUUUUUUUUUUUUUUUGGUUUUUUUUUUUUGAUCGAGCUGUGGACAUCCUUCUUAAUUCGAUUCUGAGGAUUUGUUUAACUAAAAAGUUCCCAAACACAGAAAGGGCCUCCCCACCUGCUUUGGGGAGCUGUCUGUGCUGGGAGUGCCAGGCAUCCCAUGGGACCCAUCACUGCCAGUGUCUGUGCCUCCCAGAGGUCAGCCGUGUCUGCCCUGGCUCUGUCUCCUCUGUGACAGGGCAGAGCAUUUCUGGUCAGUUUCUCCAUGGUGCCUCCCACCCCUUUGUAAAGUGGAUGGACAUGAUGGAAUUCAGUUGUCUCACCCUGAUAGCCUGGGUGUUGAUAUUCACUUUACCCGCACUCAGACACAGGCGACCUUGAAGCAGUUCUCGGUGUGUAGAGUCCACGUGACAGUCCCCACAGCCUCCCCAGAUAGCUGUGUGCCUGUGCGCUACUGCUGUGCCAUUUUCCCAACUUGGCGUUUCACUAAAUGCAGCUGAUCUCUCUCUCUGUGCACUCGUGAUCCAUGUUGAACAAUACAUGUAGGUUCUUUUUCCACGCAAUGUAAGAACAUGAUAUACUGUACGUUGGAAAGCAUUUACCUUAUUUAUAUACCUGAAUGUUCCUACUACACAAAUAAACAUAUAUUAAAUUCU
rnacentral:lncRNA from 1 species